rnacentral:tRNA from 1 species
UCCCCGGUAGCUCAGUUGGUAGAGCGGAUGACUGUUAAUCAUUAGGUCCGUGGUUCGAGUCCACGCCGGGGAGCCA